rnacentral:rRNA from 1 species
AUUGAACGCUGGCGGCAGGCCUAACACAUGCAAGUCGCACGAGUGGCGGACGGGUGAGUAAUGUCUGGGAAACUGCCCGAUGGAGGGGGAUAACUACUGGAAACGGUAGCUAAUACCGCAUACCAUCGGAUGUGCCCAGAUGGGAUUAGCUAGUAGGUGGGGUAACGGCUCACCUAGGCGACGAUCCCUAGCUGGUCUGAGAGGAUGACCAUCCACACUUGAACUGAUAAAAGGUCCAGACGCCUACGGGAGGAAGCAGUGGGGAAUACUGCACAAUGGGCGCAAGCCUGAUGCAGCCAUGCCGAGUGUAUGAAGAAGGCCUUCGGGUUGUAAAGUACUUUCAGCGGGGAGGCGUUACCCGCAGAAGAAGAACCGGCUAACGCCGUGCCAGCAGCCGCGGUAAUCC